rnacentral:rRNA from 1 species
UACGAAGGGGGCUAGCGUUGCUCGGAAUUACUGGGCGUAAAGCGCACGUAGGCGGAUUGUUAAGUCAGGGGUGAAAUGCCAAGGCUCAACCUUGGAACUGCCUUUGAUACUGGAGACCUUGAGUCCGGGAGAGGUGAGUGGAAUUGCGAGUGUAGAGGUGAAAUUCGUAGAUAUUCGCAAGAACACCAGUGGCGAAGGCGGCUCACUGGCCCGGAACUGACGCUGAGACGCGAAAGCGUGGGGAGCAAACAGG